GGAUUUGUUUAGGGUUUGGUUAAGAUUUGGUUAAGGUUUAUUAAAGAUUUUAUUAGGAUUUGGUAAGGAUUUAUUAAGGAUUUGGUUGGAAUUUGGUUAGGAUUUGGUAAGGAUUUAUUAAGGAUUUGGUUGAGAUUUGGUUAGGAUUUGGUAAGGAUUUAUUAAGGAUUUGGUUGAGAUUUGGUUAGGAUUUAGUUAGGAUUUAUUAAGGAUUUAUUUAGGAUUUGGUUAGGAUUUAUUUAAGAUUUGAUUAGGAUUUAUUUAGGAUUUGGUUAGAAUUUAUUUAAAAUUUGGUUAGGAUUUUUUAAGGAUUUAUUUAGGAUUUGAUUAGGAUUUGAUUAGGAUUUAUUUAGGAUUUGAUUAUAAUUUAGAUAAGAUUUGUUUAGGAUUUUAUUAGGGUUUGGUUAGGAUUUGACUAGGAUUUAUUUAGAAUUUGGUUAGGAUUUAAUUCGAAUUUGACUAGAAUUUGAUUAAUUUUUUACUGCGAUUUAAUUAAGGUUUUAUUUUAAUAUUUUAUUGAGGUUUUUAUUUUAAUAUUUUUCUGAAUUUUUAUAUUAUUUUUUAUGAUUCU
rnacentral:lncRNA from 1 species